rnacentral:rRNA from 1 species
GCAAACCCGGGGAACUGAAACAUCUAAGUACCCGGAGGAAAGGAAAUCAAUUGAUACUCCCCUAGUAGCGGCGAGCGAACGGGGACCAGCCGAGCCUCAAUUGUGGUUAGAAUGCGUUGGAAUGCGCAACCAAAGUGGGUGAUAGUCCCGUAUAAGAAGCAUGAGAGGACGUAUUAAGUAGGGCGGAACACGUGAAAUUCUGUCUGAAGAUCGGAGGACCACCUUCGAAGGCUAAGUACUCCUUACUGACCGAUAGUGAACCAGUACCGUGAGGGAAAGGUGAAAAGCACCCCGACGAGGGGAGUGAAACAGUACCUGAAACCGAACGCCUACAAUCAGUCGGAGCUGCGGCCUUGUGCCGUUGUGACGGCGUACCUUUUGUAUAAUGGGUCAUCGACUUGGUCUAUCUAGCAAGCUUAAGCCGAUAGGUGUAGGCGCAGCGAAAGCGAGUCUUAAUAGGGCGUCGAGUUGGAUGGAUCAGACCCGAAACCGAGUGAUCUAGGCAUGACCAGGAUGAAGGUAAGGUAACACUUACUGGAGGUCCGAACCCACACCUGUUGAAAAAGGUCGGGAUGAGUUGUGCCUAGGGGUGAAAGGCCAAUCAAACUCGGAGAUAGCUGGUUCUCUGCGAAAUCUAUUUAGGUAGAGCGUCAUCCGAAUACCCCCGGGGGUAGAGCACUGGAUGGGUAAUGGGGCCCCACAGGCUUACUGAUCCUAACCAAACUCCGAAUACCGAGGAGUACUAGAUGGCAGACACACGGCGAAUGCUAACGUCCGUCGUGAAGAGGGAAACAACCCUGACCUACAGCUAAGGCCCCUAAU